GUAAGCGGAGCGGCGUGUGGCGGCGGCAGCGCUGAGCCCAGUGGAGUUCCAGACUUCCACUCAGCAGAGUGCGUUAAUGUCUUCUGAGAUGGAUGAAAUGGCUGUGUUUG